CUCUACUCCUCCUUUGGCAAGGGAGUACUUAAUAGCACCUGCAAUUAAUCUUUUUUCAGGUGAGGUAAAUCAGAGGGUUGAAAUUCUGGUACUGUACUCCUCACCUGAAGUUUCCAAGUAACCUCCAAAAUGUGGAGUGGAGCACUGAGCCACCCUACUCUUCAAGUGCUCCACCCCACUCUCCAUGUACUCCACCCCAGGGCCUAAA